AAAACAAAAAUUUAACAAAAAAAAAAGAAGAAGAGAUUUUAUCACAGAUGAUUCAAAAAAGAAGGUAUGUAGCCUCUAUGCCUCUCCCUCUCUCUCUCUCUCUCUCUCUCUCUCUUUCUUUCUCUUUGUAUACCACGUGUGGUGUGUUGUUGUUAGGAAGGACCCCUCCUCUUCUGUCUGCGUGUCUGUUUACGAACCUGAGUGAAGAAGAAGAAGAAUAGAAAAAACAC
rnacentral:ribozyme from 1 species